rnacentral:tRNA from 2 species
GCCCUUGUAGCUCAGUCGGUAGAGCGCAACCAUGGUAAGGUUGAGGUCUGCAGUUCGAUUCUGCACGGGGGCUCGA